rnacentral:rRNA from 1 species
UACGUAGGGACCGAGCGUUGUCCGGAAUCAUUGGGCGUAAAGAGCGUGUAGGCGGCCACUUAAGUCCUGCGUGAAAUCUUGCGGCUCAACCGCAAGCGGUCGUGGGAAACUGGGUGGCUAGAGUGCGGGAGAGGAGAGUGGAAUUCCUGGUGUAGCGGUGGAAUGCGCAGAUAUCAGGAAGAACACCCGUGGCGAAGGCGGCCUGCUGGGCAGUUUUGCUGACACUGAGGCGCGACAGCGUGGGGAGCAAACAGG